AAGCCUUCACAUUUUAUUCAACAUUUUCCAGUCCUAAAUUACUGUCACAGCUCUAAAUUAUUACGGAAUAUUUUCGAAUGCGAUACUCGCAUUUAUCAUGGCUCAUCCACUGGCCAAAUCUGAACAGCUCGAGCUGAACCCAGAGCAGCAAGAGUUGAAUCCUGAACAGCUCGAAGUGAACCCUGAACAGCAGCCGCCUGAGAACAUUGAUAAUAGUUUCCUUAAUGGAUUUCUAGUGCUCAUAGGUGUCUGUGCCGCCAUCAGGGUCUUUGCGACUCUUAUACACAAGAUGUAUAAUUACUUGAUAUAGGUUCUAGCCAUCGCAGCAGAAAUUAUACAAAAUCGAGACAACAAAGCGCCCCCUGCUGAGCAUAAAAUUUAAUAAAUAAAUAAUACUUAAAAGGCCGGCUACUUUCUAUUGUAUAGCUGGGGCAAACAAACAAAAUUUGUUGAGAAAGCACCAAGCUGUAGACGCUGUAAAAUGCAGCUAUAAAACCAUUGAAAAGUAUUCCAUGUCAGUUCUGUGGGCGGAUUUGGGCCAUGUGCGAUGCCAGAAAAAAGAAUAAAAUUAA